UUAAAACUCAAAGGAAUUGACGGGGACCCGCACAAGCAGAGGAGGAUGUGGUUUAAUUCGAAGCUAAGCGAAGAACCUUACCGAGGCUUGACAUCUCUGGAAUUUUGGCGAAAGCCGAAAGUGCCUUCGGGAACCAGAUGACAGAUGCUGCAUGGCCGUCGUCAGCUCGUGUCGUGAGAUGUUGGGUUAAGUCCCGCAACGAGCGCAACCCUCGUCGUCAGUUGUAUUUUCUGGCGAGACCGCCCGGGCCAACCGGGAGGAAGGUGGGGAUGACGUCUGGUCAGCAUGGCUCUUACGCCUCGGGCUACACACGUCCUACAAUGGCCACUACAACGCGCUGCCAAACCGUAAGGUGGAGCAAAUCGCAUCAAAAGUGGUCUCAGUUCGGAUUGAGGGCCGAAACUCGCCCUCAUGAAGCUGGAUUUGCUAGUAAUGGCAGGUCAGCCAUACUGCCGUGAAUACGUUCCCGGGUCUUGUACACACCGCCCGUCAAAUCACGAAAGUUAGGAGUACCCAAAGUAUCAGCUUGCUGGUCCUAAGGUAAAUCUAGCGAUUGGGGUUAAGUCGUAACAAGGUACC
rnacentral:rRNA from 1 species